GUCAAUGGUAUUGAUUCGCUUUUGGAGCCAGUCAAGUGGCCAUUCAAGGAACUGCGGUUUUUGGCUCUUCUGCAUUGGUUACACUCUUCAGCCCCACAGGUUGCUGUUUGGUCUCACCACAAAAAGUGGAACAUUUAGAGCAAUGUGCUCUUUGGGACAGUGUGACAGCCUCUCUGCUUUGCUUGCUGCUGCUGUGCUUUGUUUGCAGGGGAAAGGAACCUGAGGCCAGGCUGAUUAGCAGAAUGGACACACCUGGGCCCAGUGUGCCCCAUGCAUAAAGCCGGAGAAUCUGCCAGUUCAGACUCUCUCUUCUCUCCCCCACAAACUCCUGCAUUGUUUAGUUAUUUUCCUUUGUUCCACCCUACAACACCUAUACAGCAUACACUCACUCAUCCACCCCCUACAUUACUGACCUUACAGACUCACCCCACCAAUUUGUUAUUCUGGUUUGUUUUGAGUACUUUAUUUUAAAUAAAUAUACUUUAAUAUAUGGAAUAUCCAUGUGACUUCCCCCUUUUUGCCAUAGCUGUGCACUUGAGAGAGCUCCUGUUGGACUUUGGCUGACAGCUGCCUUGGUUAGGGAGAGGCGCGUCCAUGGGUUCAUGCGCAUGUGGUGUUGAGAAAGGCACUUCCGGUGGAAACUCCAGGUGCCGGAUAAGCUGUCACGUUACCGUUGUUUACCCUGAUCAGCAGAACACUUGCAGGUCUGAGACCACAACCUACAGCACCAUCUACAGCACUGCUGGUGAUGAAUUCUUCAAACAAUUUGUUGCCAAUAAUGACGAGACCUUCACACAGAAAGAAGUGUUUCGGCUGGCCAAGCAGAUCCUGACUGGAGUGGCCUUCCUGCAUUGAAACAAUCCUCAGACUGACCAGUGCCAAACCUCUGGGGGACAUUCGUUUUGUGGACUUUGGCUUGUCUCGAUGCAAGGACAAUAUCACAGAAGUCAGGGAAAUUCUGGGCACCCCAGAGUAUGUGGGAAGAGAGCCACGGCAGAAGAAUGCCUUAGCCAUGCCUGACUGAACCUGCUCCCCCAUCCCCACUCCCACUUGCACCUCCACACCAGGUCAUAUUCGGAUGAACCGGAGAUGAGCCAGUCAGAAUCGGAGCCUGAGAGCCCGGCUCCCUCCCCUGAGAUGGACUUGAUCGGAUCGUACCUCAUGUGCGCAGACCAGGGUGAGCUGAAGACUGGCUGUGAGACCUUCUCCUUUAGUGAGCCCCCCUUGCCAUGUGACCUGAGAUACAACAGGAGCUGAUCUGCUGAACGAUGAUUCACAGGUGGAGAGAGACUGAGGACACUUAAAGUCUAUGGUGCAGAUGCUGAAAGCCAGUGAGCCUUCAGCUUCUCGGUCUUGACUCAGGGCCGUGGCUGCUAUAUGGAUGCUGUAUGCCUGCUUCUGGCUGCUUCUACUGCUGUAAUGUCUCUGAGCUGGGCUGUGUGUGGUUUGAUACCUCUGUGUGUGUGUGUGUAUGUUGUGAAAAGGAAUGUGAAAGGAAUGAACAUGCAGGAGAAAAAAGUGGGAGAAAACCCAGCAAUCGACCACAAGGGUUUUGUCACAGGACUGCACUGCUGCCUUAAAAGUGACUGAAAUAAACUGGAGUCGGCUUAA